rnacentral:rRNA from 1 species
GGACUACUAGGGUUUCUAAUCCUGUUUGCUCCCCUAGCUUUCGUCCCUCAGCGUCAGUUGUGAUCCAGCAAGCCGCUUUCGCCUCGGAUGUUCCUGCGGAUAUCUACGCAUUUCACCGCUACACCCGCAAUUCCACUUGCCUCUCUCACACUCGAGCACAGCAGUUUCGGAAGCAGCCUCUGGGUUAAGCCCAGAGAUUUCACUUCCGACUUGCCACACCGCCUACGGACCCUUUACGCCCAGUAAUUCCGAGCAACGCUGGCCCCCUACGUUUUACCGCGGCGGCUGGCAC